AAAGAUUAAGCCAUGCAUGUCUAAGUAUAAGCAAUUAUACGGCGAAACUGCGAAUGGCUCAUUAAAUCAGUUAUCGUUUAUUUGAUAGUACCUUACUACUUGGAUAACCGUGGUAAUUCUAGAGCUAAUACAUGCUAAAAACCCCGACUCACGAAGGGGUGUAUUUAUUAGAUUAAAAACCAAUGCCCUUCGGGGCUCACUGGUGAUUCAUAAUAACUUCUCGGAUCGCACGGCCUUGCGCCGGCGAUGGUUCAUUCAAAUUUCUGCCCUAUCAACUUUCGAUGGCUGGGUCUUGGCCAGCCAUGGUGACAACGGGUAACGGGGAAU
rnacentral:rRNA from 1 species